rnacentral:rRNA from 1 species
AUUGAACGCUGGCGGCAUGCCUUACACAUGCAAGUCGAACGGCAGCGGACCUUCGGGUGCCGGCGAGUGGCGAACGGGUGAGUAAUAUAUCGGAACGUACCUUUCAGUGGGGGGAUAACGUAGCGAAAGUUACGCUAAUACCGCAUAUUCUGUGAGCAGGAAAGCAGGGGAUCGCAAGACCUUGCGCUGAUUGAGCGGCCGAUAUCAGAUUAGCUAGUUGGUGAGGUAAAGGCUCACCAAGGCGACGAUCUGUAGCGGGUCUGAGAGGAUGAUCCGCCACACUGGAACUGAGACACGGUCCAGACUCCUACGGGAGGCAGCAGUGGGGAAUUUUGGACAAUGGGCGAAAGCCUGAUCCAGCAAUGCCGCGUGAGUGAUGAAGGCCUUAGGGUUGUAAAGCUCUUUUACCAGGGAUGAUAAUGACAGUACCUGGAGAAUAAGCUCCGGCUAACUCCGUGCCAGCAGCCGCGGUAAAGUAGUC